rnacentral:misc_RNA from 1 species
GAUGAAGAACGUAGCGAAAUGCGAUAAGUAAUGUGAAUUGCAGAAUUCAGUGAAUCAUCGAAUCUUUGAACGCACAUUGCGCCCCCUGGCAUUCCGGGGGGCAUGCCUGUUCGAGCGUCAUUACAACCCUCAAGCUCUGCUUGGUAUUGGGCUCUGCUGGGACCGGCAGGCCUUAAAAUCAGUGGCGGCGCCACUCGGCUUCAAGCGUAGUAAUUCUUCUCGCUUCGGAGACCCGGGUGCGUGCUAGCCAGCAACCCCCAACUUUCUUAGGUUGACCUCGGAUCAGGUAGGGAUACCCGCUGAACUUAAGCAUAUCAAUAAGCGGAGGA